rnacentral:rRNA from 1 species
AUUGAACGCUGGCGGCAUGCUUUACACAUGCAAGUCGAACGGUAACAAGCCGCAAGGUGCUGACGAGUGGCGAACGGGUGAGUAAUGCAUCGGAACGUGCCCAGUCGUGGGGGAUAACUACUCGAAAGAGUAGCUAAUACCGCAUACGAUCUAUGGAUGAAAGCGGGGGACCGUAAGGCCUCGCGCGAUUGGAGCGGCCGAUGUCAGAUUAGGUAGUUGGUGGGGUAAAGGCUCACCAAGCCAACGAUCUGUAGCUGGUCUGAGAGGACGACCAGCCACACUGGGACUGAGACACGGCCCAGACUCCUACGGGAGGCAGCAGUGGGGAAUUUUGGACAAUGGGCGCAAGCCUGAUCCAGCAAUGCCGCGUGCAGGAAGAAGGCCUUCGGGUUGUAAACUGCUUUUGUACGGAACGAAACGGCUCUGGUUAAUACCCGGGGCUAAUGACGGUACCGUAAGAAUAAGCACCGGCUAACUACGUG